rnacentral:lncRNA from 1 species
UGAGACUUUUUUUUUUUUUUUUUUUUUUUUUUUACUGACUAUGCUGUCCCCCAGGCUGAUUUGCUAAUGAAAUUCACUCAAUGCUAUUACAGGUUCUACAGAGAAGGGUCUUCUUUCAAAAAGCCACUAGGACCUGAGCAAUGUCUUCUAUUGCCUGCUUGGUAGAGGAGCUUCCACUAGGGCAAGAUGCUGCCAGUGAAAAGUUCAGGACUUUGGUCCCGCACUGAGAGGAUUCUUUUGCGGUGGACCGUAUGCCACAUUUGGGUGAAUUUCACUGGGACUGGAUGACUUCUGAACUUCAGGAAUCUUUUCAGAAUCAUGACAUAACUUCUUGUUCUGCCGGUGAUGGUGAUAAGGGGUGUUGUGAUGGGUCAACAUGACAAGAUACAAGGUAAGAAAGAAUCCUCUGAAGGCCA